rnacentral:lncRNA from 1 species
CACUAAUUGACCUGGUGAUGCCAAGGUGUACUGCGACGUUUCCCAUUGAAGAUAAUGCACUCUUUAGGAAGGCUUUUUUUAUACCAAGUUGGCACAGGCCUGCUUUGAGAUUUUCUGUGUUUCUUGGUGCAGAAAGAGCUAUCAAAUCAUCUUAAGCCUGAGUCAAUCAUUUGAAUUCUUUACCUACACUUCUUUGUAGGUAUUUCUUUGGCGGGAAAUUCUCUUUGGUUUCACAAACAAGAGACUCAAGUUUAUUUCUAAAGAGAACUUUGUGGGAUAGGAGGUCGUUUAACUUGGAAGCUUCUGAAGAAAUUUAUUUACAGAAGAUAAAUCUGAAGAACUAAAAAAUCAUCCCUUCAAAAUUGAGAGAAGGACUCAAUCCUUUCCAAACAGGUUUACCCCAGUUGACUUCCUUUCCUGUAUAACAAAGAGACCCAGAAGCUGAAGGUGGCUUCCUUGCUUCUUCUCCAUGUGCCUCUGUGCAGCCAUCCCAUCAAAACUGAUCACUGAGCCUUCCUGUCCUCUAAUGUAACUUACCAUCAGAGAAAGAAAGUAAGAAGGAAGGAAGGAAGGAAGGAAGGAAGGAAGGAAGGAAGGAAGGAAGGAAGGAAGGAAGGAAGGGAAAGAGAGAAAGAAAGAAAGAAAUUCACAUGUGGGUGAUCUCCAAGUGGAUGAAGUUUGCUCAUUUGAUAAAAGCAAAUACAUUUUAUUUUUCAGAAGAACCCUCUUUUAGUAGAUUUUCUUAAAUAAUCUUUUGGCGAAAC